rnacentral:lncRNA from 1 species
AAGCUUUUCAUUAUCCAGAAUCAUUAUGCAGGGAUUUCUAAACCCAUUGAACAUAAUGAUCCAACGCCAUCUCCCAAUCUUGAAUUCCUUGUAUUUGAGGCAGAGGAAGAUGACGUUGAAGGGGAUUCCUGACGAGAUUACCCGUCUUCUUGAGCACAAAAGAAGCUCAUUCAGCUGUAUCAUGAGAAUCAGCAAAACAGUCAAACUGGGGCAUUGCAAAUGCAAUCAAAAAA